GGGCUGCCUGCGGGGGCGCACGCCGGGCCGGGGCUCCGGCAGAGCUGAGGGCGGUCUCGCUCGGCGCAUGGGGAAUGCAUUACCCGAGAGACUGUCCAGUUUGACCAAUGUACAUGGCAGAGGGGCAUUGCUGGCACAUGAUGGCAUAUAUCACAUUGGUGGAUGUGCAGGCCUGUCCUGUAGUAGGUGACUUCUGGGAACUCUUCUGGCUCUAUCAAUCUGUUUCUUCACUUCCGCAGUGAGACAGACAAAUAAGGAAAAGAAAGAAAAAACAAAACCCAAAUACUGCUAACAUGAAGCUAUUACCUGACGAAUUGUAAAAUACUCA